AGAGUUUGAUCAUGGCUCAGGACGAACGCUGGCGGCGUGCUUAACACAUGCAAGUCGAACGAUGAACCGGUUUCGGCCGGGGAUUAGUGGCGAACGGGUGAGUAACACGUGGGUAAUCUGCCCCGCACUCUGGGAUAAGCCCGGGAAACUGGGUCUAAUACCGGAUAUACAUCGAUGGUCGCAUGGCCUGUCGGUGGAAAGCUUUUGCGGUGUGGGAUGGGCCCGCGGCCUAUCAGCUUGUUGGUGGGGUGAUGGCCUACCAAGGCGACGACGGGUAGCCGGCCUGAGAGGGUGACCGGCCACACUGGGACUGAGACACGGCCCAGACUCCUACGGGAGGCAGCAGUGGGGAAUAUUGCACAAUGGGCGAAAGCCUGAUGCAGCGACGCCGCGUGAGGGAUGACGGCCUUCGGGUUGUAAACCUCUUUCAGCAGGGAAGAAGCGCAAGUGACGGUACCUGCAGAAGAAGCACCGGCUAACUACGUGCCAGCAGCCGCGGUAAUACGUAGGGUGCAAGCGUUGUCCGGAAUUAUUGGGCGUAAAGAGCUCGUAGGCGGCUUGUCGCGUCGGUUGUGAAAGCCCGGGGCUUAACCCUGGGUCUGCAGUCGAUACGGGCAGGCUAGAGUUCGGCAGGGGAGACUGGAAUUCCUGGUGUAGCGGUGAAAUGCGCAGAUAUCAGGAGGAACACCGGUGGCGAAGGCGGGUCUCUGGGCCGAUACUGACGCUGAGGAGCGAAAGCGUGGGGAGCGAACAGGAUUAGAUACCCUGGUAGUCCACGCUGUAAACGGUGGGAACUAGGUGUGGGCAGCAUUCCACGUUGUCUGUGCCGUAGCUAACGCAUUAAGUUCCCCGCCUGGGGAGUACGGCCGCAAGGCUAAAACUCAAAUGAAUUGACGG
rnacentral:rRNA from 1 species